rnacentral:rRNA from 1 species
GACGAACGCUGGCGGCGUGCUUAACACAUGCAAGUCGAACGGUGAAGCGCCUUCCUUUUUGGUGGGUGUGGAUGAGUGGCGAACGGGUGAGUAACACGUGAGUAACCUGCCCCCUUCUUCUGGAUAACUGCAUGAAAGUGUGGCUAAUACGGGAUAUUCUGGGUCUGUCGCAUGAUGGGUCUGGGAAAGAUAUUGUUUCGGUGGGGGAUGGGCUCGCGGCCUAUCAGCUUGUUGGUGGGGUGAUGGCCUACCAAGGCGGUGACGGGUAGCCGGCCUGAGAGGGUGGACGGUCACACUGGGACUGAGACACGGCCCAGACUCCUACGGGAGGCAGCAGUGGGGAAUAUUGCACAAUGGGCGCAAGCCUGAUGCAGCGACGCCGCGUGAGGGAUGGAGGCCUUCGGGUUGUGAACCUCUUUCGCCAGUGAAGCAGGCCUGCCUCGUUUGUGAGUGGGUUGACGGUAGCUGGAUAAGAAGCGCCGGCUAACUACGUG